GACGGAGGAUGCAAGUGUUAUCCGGAAUCACUGGGCGUAAAGCGUCUGUAGGUGGUUCGAAAAGUCCACUGUUAAAAAUUGAAGCUUAACUUCAAAGAUGCCGCGGAAACUUUCAAACUAGAGUGUGGUAGGGGUAGAGGGAAUUUCCAGUGGAGCGGUGAAAUGCGUAGAUAUUGGAAAGACCACCGAUGGCGAAGGCACUCUACUGGGCCAUUACUGACACUGAGAGACGAAAGCUAGGGGAGCAAAUGGG
rnacentral:rRNA from 1 species